rnacentral:misc_RNA from 1 species
UACGUAGGGGGCAAGCGUUGUCCGGAAUCAUUGGGCGUAAAGGGCGCGCAGGCGGCCCAGUAAGUCGGGUGUGAAAGUCCGAGGCUCAACUUCGGAAACGCACUCGGUACUGCUGGGCUUGAGGAAGGUAGAGGAGAGUGGAAUUCCCGGUGUAGCGGUGGAAUGCGCAGAUAUCGGGAGGAACACCAGCGGCGAAGGCGGCUCUCUGGGCCUCUCCUGACGCUGAGGCGCGAAAGCGUGGGUAGCAAACAGG